UCCUUUUUUUCUCUGGAGGGCCACAAGGAAGGGUGGUGGUGUUGGAUGGGAAGGCUUGGUUUGUGGUGCUGGGAGCUGCUUGGAGUCCUUGUUCCUCACUGGGUUUUGGCCAACUCUGUUUCUGGCUGUGGCCUUGAGAGCCUGACUCUAGGUGUGGCUGUAUGGGCACCAGCCUUCAGAUCAUGUUCAUCUGCAGAAUAACUGGUAUUGCAUUUUAUCCUCAACCCACGCUCGCUGCCCUUCCUCUCCUUAUCAGUGUUUGUUUACCAGGCUGACUCAGCUCUCACCCUAGAGAACAGCCAUGCAGAGCAGUGCCAUGGCUGGGUCAGCACUGUGCAGAAGCUCUGGAUGGGACAUCCUGGCUGCAAGACCAACAUCAUUCCUUACCCAGGGCCCAUGCUGGAGCCCAGCAUCUGCCCAAGGCAGCACAAUGGCUUCGGACCACUGGAACGUGCCUACAGACUUUUUCACAGAACCACUGUGUGCUGAACCAGACACCACCGUCACAAAGCAUGGUUUGGAUGCUUCUGUAAACCCUUCCAUGAAAAGAGAGGGGAAUCACAGAAUCAUAGGAUGGCCUGGAUUGAAAAGGACCACAAAGAUUAUCUAGUUUCAACCCCCUGCUAUGUGCAGGGUCGCCAACCACCAGACCAGGCUGCCCAGAUCCACAUCCAGCCUGGCCAUUGGGGUGUGCCUGCUCACCUCCAUCCCUAAGCAGGAGCAUGUCUGCACAUCCCAAUCCAUGGACAGACCUUCUGAGGGAGAGUGUCCUGUGUGUAAUCCUAUGGCAAAGCAAGCCAGUAUGUGGUGUGAGAAGAGAAUUCAGCUGUUUCUCCAGAAGGUAUUACAGUCACCUUUGAUGAGCAGAGUCAUUGGCACCGCUCUGUGCUAUUUGCUUUCCUUCAGGAAAGCAGGGGGAUUCCUGAGGUGCUGCUUCAUUGCCUCUGGCCUCCUAGAGAGGAAAUAACCACAUGAUU